GAUUUCUGGCGUGGUGUGCCUAGCCCGCGUCUCCGGACUGUGAGUGCUGGUGUACGCCUGCCAUUCUUCUAGGAUUCGCAGCUGCCCUUAUGGGGUGUGAUGCGAGCCUAGAUCUUUUACUUUGAAAAAAUUAGAGUGUUUAAAGCAGGCAUUUGCUCUGAAUACAUUAGCAUGGAAUAAUAAUUUAGGACUUUGGUUCUAUUUUGUUGGUUUCUAGGACUGGAGUAAUGAUUGAUAGGGAUAGUUGGGGGUGCUAGUAUUCAGCGGCCAGAGGUGAAAUUCUUGGAUUCGCUGAAGACUAACUUAUGCGAAAGCAUU
rnacentral:rRNA from 1 species